rnacentral:rRNA from 1 species
UACGAAGGGGGCGAGCGUUGUUCGGAUUUACUGGGCGUAAAGGGCGCGCAGGCGGCUAUCCAAGUCAGGCGUGAAAGCCCCGGGCUUAACCUGGGAGGUGCGUCUGGGACUGGGUGGCUAGAGUUCGGGAGAGGAGAGUGGAAUUCCCAGUGUAGAGGUGAAAUUCGUAGAGAUGUGGAGGAACACCAGUGGCGAAGGCGACUCUUUGGCCUGUAACUGACGCUGAGGCGCGAAAGCGUGGGGAGCAAACAGG